GACGAACGCUGGCGGCGUGCUUAACACAUGCAAGUCGAACGAAGAGCGAUGGAAGCUUGCUUCUAUCAAUCUUAGUGGCGAACGGGUGAGUAACGCGUAAUCAACCUGCCCUUCAGAGGGGGACAACAGUUGGAAACGACUGCUAAUACCGCAUACGAUCUAACCUCGGCAUCGAGGAAAGAUGAAAGGUGGCCUCUAUUUAUAAGCUAUCACUGAAGGAGGGGAUUGCGUCUGAUUAGCUAGUUGGAGGGGUAACGGCCCACCAAGGCGAUGAUCAGUAGCCGGUCUGAGAGGAUGAACGGCCACAUUGGGACUGAGACACGGCCCAGACUCCUACGGGAGGCAGCAGUGGGGAAUCUUCCGCAAUGGACGAAAGUCUGACGGAGCAACGCCGCGUGAGUGAUGACGGCCUUCGGGUUGUAAAGCUCUGUUAAUCGGGACGAAAGGCCUUCUUGCGAACAGUUAGAAGGAUUGACGGACCGAAUAGAAGCCAC
rnacentral:rRNA from 1 species